CGGGGGAGUAGCUGCUGGGAGCAGGUGGCCAGGGCGGCACAGCCACCAUUAAACAGUUCCAACCAAAGCUUUUGUCCCCACAUGUUUUCUCAACUGCACCAUAAAGCUUAAAGGCACACGUAAUUCUUCACAUUCCUAUUUUCUAGCCCAUUCUUGACCCAAGGACAGACAAACAGUGAAAAGUAGGGACUUUAUGUUUGUUUUUACACAGGUAAGAGUCAUUUCGUAUGUGUUUUCAGUACAUCAUAACA
rnacentral:lncRNA from 1 species